CCGGAACUGGUGGCUACAGCUCACAUUAUACCUACAGGUCAGGCACAUAAGGAUGUCAAAAGUGCUACAGAAGACUACCUGGCUACCCUGCGCUAAAGGUUCACUCUCAAGAGUGACAGUGCCCUCAAAACAUCAGACAUCACUCACCGGCAGGUGCACAGACUGCAUGUAGAAGGCAGCAGGGACCUGGGCUACAACAGGUGGAUCUGUUGCUGUUGCUGAAUCAGGGAAUGGGGCUGGAUCUGUGUGUAGGUGGCUAUAGGAAGCAGCCCAGAAUGGAACAAAGAAGAGCAGAAAAUAAUCAUCAUUAUAAAUUAAAAGUAAAAUCAUCUUUCCAAGGUGUACCUAGUUUUGGAAUCACACAGUGAAUGAAAAUCUAACCUGGAAGGACCUGAGAUCACCUCAUUCAUACUCUCCUCUGAGUCCAAUAUUACCAGAUCUUACCAACUAUCUCUAAAAGAUCUCAAAGAAAGAAUGCGCUUACUCAAUCACUUAA